UUAAAAAGUGUCAGGAGGCUUCUCACUGGCCGGGAGGAUGAAACGCAACUUAAAGAUGUUUUGAGUGACUCAGACGACAGACGUAAGCUUUGGUCCAAGACACGCUGAAGGAAUCAAUAACCUUUCCUGUUCUUUCUUUUCCUUGAGGUGAGGCCUGUCUGUUCUGAGUUGUGAUGGGGCGCCUGCUGCUGUGUUCCAGCAGCUGGGUCGAGCUCCGGGAGCUCGGGCAGCCCUGGCUCCGGGCUGGAGGAGCUGCUGGACCCUCGGUCCGCAGGAGAAAGGCGGAGCCGAGGACAGGAAUCCUUCCCGGCCCUCAUCCAUCCACCUGGAGAAAGGAAUGGCUGUCCUGCCCCGCCGGCUGUGCCACUGGAUGGCAGCAUUGGAUGCGGCUUGGCAGCGCCGAGCUCCGGUUCAGCCUCGUUAAACAUCAGCCCGUUUGCUGCGAAGAACCUGGAGUGAGAUGAGUGGUGAUGAUUCUUUCUCUGGAGUGUGAAUCCUGGUGGUACAUCGGGUACAUCCUGACAUAUGACUUGUACUGCUAGGAAAGGACACAGGAGAGAAGAGAGUCCUCUGCUUCAGCUGAAAUUAUUGCACGGGGCUGGAAAAAAGUAUUAUUUGUAGAAAGUAUGCAAGGAUCAGCAGUAAAUGAAUUUGAAGCAAAGGUGAAGCAAACUUUCAAGAAAUACCAUGAAACUGCAAACUGGUGAUUACACUACACAUGAAGGCUUAUGCUGUGCAAGUGCAUCAAAUCAGAGAUCAAACUAUGCUUUUUCCUUUGCUGAGAUGCAUCCUGCAAAUCCUUAUGCUUGGAUCACAGGAAAGUGACACCUUCUACUCCUGAAAGCUUCUCAUGGGGUUUGGGAUCCAUCUCCCUUCUUUGCCAGCUGAACGGAGCUCACGUGGCCUUCACUGACUAAAGUCCUUUUCCCACUUCAAUGAGUAAGAACGCAGAUUAAUGCAAGAGAAAGAAGUUUUUCUGAAAGGCAAUCAGCUACGUGUCCCAUCAACUACAGGGAUCCUUCAACUUUCAUGUUGAGAGCUGAGAUUAAUAUCUACCCAUCUGGUUAACUUUAACUUUGGGAAAUUAUGUUUGGGCCUAAUUAUUUUCUCUAUCUCCUCCAAAAUCGAAUGACGUUUAUGCAGCUAGAUAUACUUUGUUAAAUCAAGGGGUUUUUUUACUUUUUUGGUCUAGCUGAUCAAAAUUAAUAGGAAGAAUUCAACAAAAAGCUGACCUAGACCUUUCAAAGUCAAGGACUCCUUAUCCUUCUAUCACAAGUUAUAAGCAUUUUGCAGAGAGGAGGGAGGAUUCCUUUUGAAGCAAGAGGAAACAAUUUGUCAGGAUGAUUUCCAGAAGUCCUCUUAGUUUAGCAAAACAGUUUGACAACAGCAAGGUCAGUAACAGUGCCUUGCCAAGUGGCUCUGCAUCUACUGUGGUUGAAAAUGAAUGGCAAAUUGUGGAAAUCAGUAAUGCAAAACCCAAUGCCUAUAGUGUGUAAAUAUAUUUCUUCUCAGGAUAAGAUACAAUGUGAAUAUAAAAUGCAAAACUAGCUCAAGUUGAAUAUAAACAUGCAAAUAUUUAGUUUAGAAAGAGAAGCAACAGGAAAGUUUAGUAAGGAAUGUAAAAUCAAGCAUUGCUUUGCAGCAUUCUGUACAAUAGAUUUAUAAAUAUCCCAUUUAUAUUUGUGAAUAUAAACACUUUCGGUGCUGGAUCAUUUUACAGUGAUUUUCUUUUUAAAUUUUAGUCCUUUAUUGUAUCAGUAUUUCAAACACAGGAAAGUCUGAUUCAAACCUUGUCAGUAAUUUUUUUCAAAUAACAGGUUUGACAACUCAAUUUUCCUGUUACUGAUUUACUUUAAGAAUUUUCAAAUCACCAAAGUGUAUUUAUUAUUCCUGUGUUUAUUGUGACCCAUGUUUUAGUUGCCAAAAUGCAAGCAGAUUCACAGUCUUAGUUACAUUUCAACACAGUAAUUGCUAAAUCAUUUAGGAAGGAGGAAAUAAAAAAGUCCCAUAAGCAGUUGUUAUUAUGCGUGUGUAUUUUUAAUAUCUGAUUUUCAGCAUAACCUUAGAUUACAGUGCAGGUUAAAUUUCCCUUGCUGAUUUGUAAGUAUAAUGUAAACUCUAGGCACAGCUAAUGAUAUUGCAAUAUAAAACUGUUCUGUUGCAAAGUAAAGACCUUGCUUAGCACUGCAAAGCUCUGGGUUCAUUUCAAUGUGAUCAUUCAGGCGCUAUGGAGGGAUUAUGCUUUUAUUGUAUUUUGUUUCAUGAAUACAUGAAUGAAUAAUAAGUUCAACAAACAAGGGUUCCCUACUGGCUAUCUCAAAGAAAUCAUUUUGCAACGUGUUAUGAAUUUCAAUCAAUCAUCCUCAACAGUCCUUGUCCUGCUGAGGUCUGUGCAUUAACCUAGUCAGCAUUUUUGGAACUAUUGUGAAUAGCUUGGUAUUUGAUCAGAAUGUCCACGAUCAGGAAGUUGAAAAGGAGUGCUAGAGAAGAAGCAUCCUGUCUAUAUUGCAUAAUUUUUUGUACCUACUUUUCCACACUUUUCAAGCUUUGAUUGUAUGGUAGUUGCAUGUCCAGGACAUGCCCUUGCUUUGUGUGACUUGUCUUUCAAUUUUCUCUAUUUUCUUUUCUCUAUUUUCCUUAAGAAAGAACUAAAAAAGUAAUUAUGAACCACAAAUACAUAUAAAUGCACACACGUACCUGUAAGGUUGUGAUUCGGAAAAAGAAGGAUGAAAAUGUACAAGAAUGUGGACUAUGUUUAAGAGUACUGUUUUAUCCCAUCUCUCUGGAAAUUUAUCUGUGUAUAAGGUAAGGGUAAAAUACUAAUUCAUUUAAAUUGUGAGAGCAAGAAUAAGAACAUUGGUAAGAAGGUCAGAACUUUGCAAUAUUUGCAUGUAGGAUGGCAUCAGUAUCAAAUGAUCAAUUUCUGAUUUAUGUCUUUUACAUUAACUAGUGAAAAUAAAUAACAUAGUACAUGAUAACACCGUACAAUGCAUGCCUUAUUCCUGGGGCUAAAUGUCCUGUGGAUGCAUCAAUUAGGAAUUUAAAAACCCUCAAAAUGUUUAUAAGAUUUCUGAAAGGAGAGAUGGAGGAAAAUCAAAGAUCCAUUCUGAUGCAAUCCACAGUCUAGUAUGGUGUAUUUAAUUCUGUGCCUUGUCCCAACUUCAUCCCAUCUCUUCUUCUGAGAGGGACAAAGUUUUUCUCUCUAUUAAUUCUCUAUACUUCCCCCAGCCUUUCCUUUCUCAGGUUAUUACUGAAGUAUCUUGAUUUUUGUUGUUUUUUAAUAAGAACAAAACCUACUUAUGUGCCAUAAUUUUGCUUAAAAUAUAUGUUUACUAACUUUUGUAGCUAUUCUUAAAAAAAACCCAUGCCAUGUAAGUGCCAGGCUAUAUCUCUGCAAAUUGAAAAUGAUGGCUUACCCUCUACACUUGUCAGAGAAAAAUAGUUGUGCCAACAAGUAGUUAUUUGACAGCUUGCUGCUGUUUACAGGUUGUUUGUUCUCCACAGCUGGUAAGUAUUGCUCUUGCAUCUUCUCUUUUUCACUAAGAAGUGACUGCAGGGCACAGAUCUGUUCUUUCAAUACUCUUAUAGAAUCAUAGGAUGAUUUAAUUUGGAAAAGACCUCCAAGAUAUCGAGCCCAAUGGUUAACCCUGCACUGUCAAGUUCAACACUAAACCAUGUCUCUAAGUGCCAUAUUUACAUGUCUUCUAAAUUGCUUCCAGGGAUGGUGACUCCCAGAUUGUUGAAGGGCUUGAGAACCCUUUUGGUGAAGAGAUUUUUCCUAAUAUGCAGUUUCAACCUACCCUGGAGAAUCUCAAGGCUGUUUCCUCUUGUCCUGUCACCUGUUAUUUGGCAAAUGUGGCAGACCUCCACCUGGCUACAGCCUCCUUUCAGGCAGCUGCAGAGAGCAGAAGCUUCACCAGCUCUGUUGCUCUGUUGCCCUCUGGAUUCACUUGAAUACCUGAGCAUCUUUCUUGGCCCAGAAAUGGCCCAGAACUGAACACAGGACUUGAGGUGUGGCCUUGCCAGUGCUGACUACAGGGGUAUGGUCACUGCCCUGGUCCUGCUGGUGGCACAAUUGCUGAUCUAGGCCAGGAUGCCGCCAGCUUUCCUGGCCACCUGGGCACAGCUGGCCGGGAAAUUCAGCCAAUGCUGUCCGUUGCCCCCGAUCAUUGUCCACCAGGCAGCUUUUCAGCCCCUCGAGCACUGCCUGGGGUUGUUGUGACCCAAGUACAGUACCUGGUAUUUUGCCUUAUUGAACCUCAUCCACUGGCCCUCAGGCAUGAAUCCAGCCUCUGCAGAUCCCUCUGAAGAACUUUCCUGCCCUCCAGCAGAUCAGCAUUCCAUCCCAACCUACUGUCACCUGCAAAGUGACAGAAGGGGCACUCCAUCCUCUCAUCCAGAUCACGGAUAAAGAUAUUAAGUAAGUCUAGUCCCAACACUGAGCAACACAGCUGUUGACCAGCUGCCAAUGGGACGUGGCACCAUCACCUCCACUCUCUGGGCACAGCCACACAGCCAGGUUUCACCCAGUGCCCCUGUCCAAGCCUUGAGCAGCCAGUUUCUGCAGGCAAGUGUUGUGGGAAGUGAAGUCAAAGGAAACAACAAAGCCCUGGUAUACACAGCCAUAGCCUGUCAUCUGUAGCUUUUCUAUCGUCCAUUAAAUAAGUCCCCGUGUCAUAGAGGGAGAAUUUGGUCAGUCACGACCCAUCUUUCAUAAACUGGCACUUGCUGGUCCUGAUCCUCUGGCUGUGCUGCACAAUGGCUCUCAACGUGUCUGCUCCAGGAUCUUCCCCUGCACUGAGGUCAGGCUGACAGGCCAGACCUUCCAUUCUGACUCUUCUUUUAGAUGGGGGUUGUGCUUGCUAACCUCCAGUUCACUGGACCCUUCCCUCUCAAAGUGUCUUAGCAAGCACUUCCUCCAGCCACAUCAGUACCCCUUGAGCAGGAGAGGCCACUUAAACUGAGUGGUGAAAAUAUUGGCUUUAUUUAUAGGCUGCAUAACACUUGUGUGGGAAUGCCAAAGAUGGAACUUCUCUUGAAGACUGUCUUGCUCUUAUAAAUACCGAUCUAAGCUCCACUGACAAUACUUGUGUUUAUAUUUAAGUAGUAAACUGGGAGGAUGGCCCUAAGAACUAGUUCUAAAAUUUUGGUUAUUAGGUGUAAAUGCUGCUAACUUUUUGAGUUCCUUUGUCUCAUCUUAGGCACUUUGAAAAGUGUGGAUGUUUGCAUGGAAAUGAUCUGGCAGAUAAAGUGUGUAAAUCCAAUCUUUUGGAUGUACACAUUUGGACUUGCACUGAAGUAUUUGCAAAGUGGUCUCUGCAGGUGAUACAGUCAUGUUGUCUGAAUAACACUGAAUAACAAGUAAUGUGUUUGUCCUUCUGAUAUGGCUUUUUUUUUGCUUACAUUGUAGAGUUGAUGUUUUGGUACCUACUUGGCAGAGAGAAUUACGGAAUUGUGAAACAAACAUCAUUUACUGAUACGUUGACUAAUUUUGUCUUGUCAAAAUUGUCAAAUCUCUUCAAAGCGAUUGUCACCACCUCUUUGAUGUGGCACUCUGUUCCAUAUAUAGACACUGUUCACAUAAAUUGUGUCACAUGAUGCUUUUUUUUUACCUCUGCCAUUUAACUCCAAAAGGACUACUUUGUCUUAAUUAGUGAUCUAGUCAAUUUUAUAGGUUGGCCUCAUUUCAUGCUCUCAUUAUGUUUUUCACUUGUGUCAUUCCCUUUAAUUGUAGAAAAAACCCUUACAUUCUUUAAUAUUUUUGGGAGCUAUUUUCAAUCUUAUUGUUAUCCUUUUUGCAAUCUAUUGACCAAACCAGGUAAAUUUUAUCUGUUGCAGUCUUGUUAAUGCCAAAAUACAUUAAUCAUUACAAUACAAUUUUCUUCAAAGGAUGUCCUUCCCUUUGGUAAUUUCUUAGCCUUGUUUACUGAGAAACUCCUCUGUUCAGGAAUAAUGCAGAAAGACCAUUUCUUCCCACUAGAGGACAAAGAUGAUAUAUGCUCCUGGGUAAUAAACUUAGGCAUUACAAAAAACUGCAUGCAUGCCCAUUGGGUGUUCUGUGAUUAACCUCAUUAGAAACAUAUUUUUCUCAAUUUUGCAUGGCUAGUAGGACUCCAUUGUACUGGAGAAAGAGCUACUAGAAUUAUGGAGUCCGUUUGCUGAUUUAAUUUCUUUUCCUUCUCCUUUGUAAACCAUCUACAAGGAAUCACAUCUUAACACUUGUCACCCCUUUUUGAAGCACUAGCUAGUCACAUAAGUCCUUGAAGAGCUGGGCUCUUCUCUUUAUAAAAGCUUUGUUUCCCCCAGAAUAUUUCAGAGUUCUCUCACAUACUUUGAGGUUUGAGCAUCUUCUUGGUGCAUGGAUAAAUACCACCUAUGCUUAUUUUUUACAUCUAACAGAAUAGAGUCAUAGAAUGGUUGGGGUUAAAAGGAAUGUAAAGAUUGUCUUGUAACAAACUCCCUGCCGUGGAAAGAGACCCUUUCCACUAGAGCAGAUUGCUCAAAGCCCCAUCCAGCCUGGCCUGGAACACACCAGGAAUGGGACAGCCACAAUUUCUCUGGGAACAGGUUUCCCAUCAACCUCAUGGUCAAAAAUUUAUUAGUGAUAUCUAAUCUGAACCUCUUCUGGGAGCAGGUUUAAAAUAAUUUAAAUCAAAAAUGAUUUCAAAUAAUUCUUUCUUGUCUUGUCACUGUAUGCCCUUGCAAAAGAUCUCUUCCCCAUCUUUCCUGUUAGUUCCCUUCUAGAAGGCCAAAAUUUGGUCAUCCUGAGGCUGUCUCUUCUCUAGGCUGAAUGAUUUCUAUUCACUCAGUCUUUCCUCAUAGCAGAAGUGCUCUAUCCCUCUAAUCUUCCUGGCUGUCCUCUGGAGUCACUCAAACAGGUCAAAACAGGUCCAUGUCCUUCCUCUGCUGGGGACCCCAGAACUGUACACAGCACGCCAGGAGGGCUCUCACCAGAGCAGAGCAGAGGGGCAGAAUCCCCUCCUCACCCUGCUGCCCACCCUGCCUUGGUUGCAGGACACAUCUGGCAGUGUGGGCUGGGAGUGCCCAUGGCUGGGUCAUGCCCAGCCUCUCCCCCACCAGCACCCCCCAGUCCUUCUCAACAGGACAGUGCCUUGCAUUUGGCGUUCUUAAACCACAUGGAAAUUCCUGGACCCACUUAUUUUCCAGCUUUUUCUGGCCGGCGUUUUAUCCUUCAGCAGUCUUGAAGGAACUCAGCUUGUUGUCAUCUGCAAAUUUGCUAAGGGUGCAUUUGAUCCCUUCAUCUAUGUCAUUGAUGAAGAUGUUAAAUAACGCUGGUGCCAGUACAGACCCCUGAGGGCACCACUUGCCACUGACAUCCUCUGGGACUCUGAGUCACUGACCACCACCCUCUGGAGAUGACUAUCUAUCCAGAGUUCCCAGGGUAUCCCAUUGACUGUCUCCUUGAUGAGACAGAAGUUUGCUAAAGUUCAGGGACAUAUCUUUAUUUGACCUGAAAGCUUGAGGACUGCAAAUUCCACCUGCAGGCCAGGCUGUCUCCAAUCCUGAUGUCCUCAAUUAACUCGCUUACACUGCUGACCAAUAGAUCUAGAAACGCAUCCAUUCUCUAGGGGUGUGUACUCUGUGACCCACGAAGAUAUCCUCUGUCUCCUGGAUUGCCUAGACCUUGCCAUGGUGAUGUCCCAGUACCUUAUGUAAAACCAACUGCAAAGGGAGCUGCUGUAUUGAAGAGCUCACAGCCUUGUUGGCAGCCAUUGAAUGGGGCAAGAGCAUUAGUGUCAUAUGGAGCAGGAAGGAGCUAAGAAAAAAAAGGAGAUUAAAUGACUGUCAGAAAGAAAUCUGUAAUAAAAUUGUUUGAACUGGAGAAAAAUCUUCCUGAAUCAGGCAAUCUCACAGUUCAAAUAUGUUUCAAAGUGUUUUCCCUUAGAGAAAGGAACCAGAUACUUGUUGGCAAUACGCUCCCCUUUUUAACCACUUGAAGUAACAAAUGCUUCUGGAUAAUGCCCUGGUGGAUUCAUGCGGAUGACUCCUGUUUUGCAAGGUGCAUAGGGUACACUGUACAAAUUUACUAGCAUAAAGUAAAUUAGAUAGAAAUACCUUUGUGCACUGAUCAUUUUUUAACUCAUCUUCAAGUUCAAUGAAUUACAUAUUUGUUUGUUUUGGUGGCUUGAGAAAUCCAUUUAUUCUUUUUCCUAUCUGAAGUGGUUUAAACUAAAGCUUUCAUAAUACCCUUCAGUUUCUGUGUUAAAUUGAUGUUUAAAUUGGAAUGAAAGUAGGAAUCUUGGCAGUUUAGAUAAUUUACUUCAUCUGGUGGCCAGCUAUGUUAACAAUCACAUCAUAUGCCAGCAUUUGCACUAGAUGAAAGAAGUCCCUGGGGCACUAGAACUGCAUUUUAGAAGCAGAGUGAAAACACAGUUAUGGUCUUUGUUUCAUUGUUUUAUUCUGUAAAAUGGAAAAUUAUUUUAACUGGAAUUUUUACGUGUUAAACGCGUAAUGUAAAGGUUAUGUUGAGGACUAAUUUGGGUGUAUUUGCCUUGGAAGCUGAAUGACAAUUGAUCAGUAUUCUGGACAGGAAGUGUUCAGCACAAUGUCAGCAAAUUAUGUCUUUUUAUUCUGAUGUAUCAAGCACUUGGAGGAAAUGGUAUAUUGUUAGCAUAUGAAUAACAUCAAAACCCCACAUUGCAAGAUGUAUUUCAGUCUUCUGGAAUAAAAUGCAUGGCCUCCCCUUUAUUUAUUUAAGUGCCUCCCCUUGUAAUACAGUGCAUGCUUGAACCUGAAAGCUAUUUCUUGUCAAAUACAGACAAACUGAAUUUCCGGAUUCAAUUGCUGGUGCAUGACUGCACAUUCCAUCACUUGGCAAAAAAAUUUGUAAUAUCAAAUUGACUUCCUGCUUGCAGAGUAAAAUGUGUUUGAUUAAAAGUAAGGUUGUUGCUGGAACAACAUUGUUGUCUGUGGGGUUUUUUUGGUUGUUUUUUUUCUUUUUUAAGAACAAUUCUCAAAGAAUGUAUUUAUGUCAUCUGUGUUUCCUUGAUACUAUAACUACCCUGCAUGAAAAGUAUGAAU